GCAUAUCAAUAAGCGGAGGAAAAGAAACCAACCGGGAUUACCUCAGUAACGGCGAGUGAAGCGGUAACAGCUCAAAUUUGAAAUCUGGCUCUUCCGGAGUCCGAGUUGUAAUUUGUAGAAGAUGCUUUGGGUUGUGGGUUCGGCCUAAGUUCCUUGGAACAGGACGUCAUAGAGGGUGAGAAUCCCGUAUGUGGCCGAGGCCCGCGCCUAUGUAAAGCUCUGUCAACGAGUCGAGUUGUUUGGGAAUGCAGCUCAAAAUGGGUGGUAAAUUUCAUCUAAAGCUAAAUAUGGGCCAGAGACCGAUAGCGCACAAGUAGAGUGAUCGAAAGAUGAAAAGCACUUUGGAAAGAGAGUUAAACAGUACGUGAAAUUGUUGAAAGGGAAGCGCUUGCCACCAGACUUGGGCGCUGUCGAUCACCCCGAGUUCUCUCGAGUGCACUCGACAGCGCACAGGCCAGCAUCGGUUCGGGUGGCUGGAUAAAGGCCGUAGGAACGUGGCUCCCUUCGGGGAGUGUUAUAGCCUACGGUGCCAUGCAGCCCAGCCGGACCGAGGACCGCGCCUUCGGGCUAGGAUGCUGGCGUAAUGGUUGUAAGCGACCCGUCUUGAAACACGGACC
rnacentral:rRNA from 1 species